UUCCCUCUAGACUUAGCUGCUGUAGAAGUCCUAUCUACAAAUGGAUAAUACCUCUAUAUUAGAUUAGUGUAUACGAGUUCUUGAAAACGAAAAGGAACAAUACUUACCUUUCUUGAUAAAAAAAGGUAAGUAUUGUUCCUUUUCGUUUAAAAUGGUUUUUUUCUAGAAAAAACCUAAUUUUAAACGUUGUAUUGUAAAUUGAAGUAGUAUUUUUUUUAUAGUAUAUUUUAUUACUAUCUGUUUUCUUAAUAGUAUAAGGGCGGAUGUAGCC
rnacentral:misc_RNA from 1 species